CUCGUAGGCGGCCUGCCAAGUCUCACGUGAAAGACCAGGGCUCAACCCUGGGAACGCGAGAGAAACUGGCAAGCUGGAAUCUUGGAGGGGGUACUGGAAUUCCUGGUGUAGGGGUGAAAUCUGUUGAUAUCAGGAAGAACACCGGAGGCGAAGGCGAGUACCUGGCCAAAGAUUGACGCUGAUGAGCGAAAGCGUAGGGAGCGAACAGGAUUAGAUACCCUGGUAGUCC
rnacentral:rRNA from 1 species